rnacentral:lncRNA from 10 species
ACAGAUGUGCAUGAAAUUUGGUGUGGUGACUCGGAUCGGGGGACCUGCCUCAGGAAAUCAAUCCCCUGUCCUCCUGCUCUUUGCUCCGUGAGAAAGAUCCACCUACGACCUCAGGUCCUCAGACCGACUAGCCCAAGAAACAUCUCACCAAUUUCAAAUCUGCCACUCCCAGAGCCCGUGGAACUCUGGCCCAAGGCUCUCUGACUGACUCCUUCUUGGCUUAGCGGCUGAAGACUGACACUGCCCGAUCGCCUCAGAAACCCCGUAGACCAUCACGGACGCCGAGCUUUAGUUAACUCUCACAGUGGAGGACCUUUGCAAGAGGGUCCGAGACAUUUGCAUCAUCAUUCAGUGAGACCUGUAAACACAGCAUCUGCCUUUGACCACAUCCAUCUGGAAGAACCUGAGAGAUAAUCCAUUUUAUGAAAUUUUCCCUACCCUGAAAUGGGAGAAUG